GUCCUUCCACGGGCUGGUAGCAUACUUUGCUUUUAUUUUCAUGUUAUAUUUUAAGUAGGCGCACCGCCAAUGUGGGGCUUGAGCUUCCAACCCCGAGAUCAAGAGUCGCAUGGUUUACCGACUGAGCCAGCCGGGUACCCCGUCACUGUCUUCAUUCGGGCACGGAUCCUCACGUCAGUCAUUCACGGGGAAUCUAAGCACUGAGCUCUCCAUUCACACAAUGCAGAAUCUCCCACUGGUAACACUUCUGGUGCCGUGAUUCAGAUUGCUUAAGGAGCCCGGCUGAGCCCACACUGGAAACAGAGGACCGAGGGAGCCUAUGGAAGACA